AGUUGAACUAUUCAUGAAGCUUCAGAGUUCAGCAUGGGAGUGGGGAAGGGAGAGAGCUACCAACCACCCUCCUUUUGUCAGAAGAGGCUGAUAAAAACAGAGGCUGCCAAGAGAUGUACUGGAGUAGGAGGAGACUGCCCUGGCAUCAGGCGAAUCUAGCCUUGGAUGUCCACUCUCAAAAGGAAUAUGACAAAUCUGAAGGUGUACCUGAGGAAGUAGCUGGAGCUGGACAGCAGUAACGAGGUGCAAGUCCCCAUGGAAGAUUCGAGCGUGUCCAGCAGUGUCGAUGUGGACAAAGGCUUUGCCAUUGCCUUUGUUGUUCUUCUGUUUCUGUUCCUAAUAGUGAUGAUUUUUCGGUGUGCCAAGCUGGUGAAGAAUCCCUACAAGGCCAGCUCCACAACCACAGAACCAUCUCUGAGCUGAAUGUAAUAAACCUGGUAGACUCCCCCUUGCAAG